UGUCAUUAUUAACAAAAGUGAGGGGUGGGCAGCUUCACCUUCCUGUUAAAGGGGAUGGGAGCCUCUGGUCGGCCUCCACUGGGUCACCUCGAUGAGUACAUACAGUGGCCAUCUGACCCUUCGGUCCACCGUUCCUUACCCACUGACUAUGUGAUGUUGAGGAAUUGCAGUGAAACAUGAGUAAAUAUCUAAACUCUGGCUUAAUCUCAAUGUCACCUAAAUAACAAUAGGACAGAUCUUUUAAACCACAUCUCCAUCUGCAAAAGGACAUCGCACUGCUGGCCUCGCGAGGCUUCCUGAGGAUUUCAUGGGAGGACGCAAAUACGGAACUGUCGACCAUCCACAUUGAUUCACGUCCCCCGCCCCCACCCGCCUCCCUGAUACUAAAUUCACCUGAGUUGUUCUUAUGACAAUUUCUCGAACUGCCACCUGCGUAGACCAAAGCUCUCCUCUCAUCCAUUCCUCCCCUUCUUCUCCCACAACCUCAUGACCAAGUCCGCUCCUGCCUUCUGUGUACUUUGGAGUCUUAUUUAGCUUCUAACACUUCUGGACCAGAAUCACAGCUGGUACAGUGUCUACUACGCCUAGAUCACAAAGAGGCAGAAGUCAUCAGAAUCAGCUCCCCACAGAAUAACUUCCAAAGGCAGCACUCACCAAAUGCCACUUGUGUAGGUCAUCUCCUACAAAGUUCUGCAUGCAAAUUAUAAUUUGUUUUAAAGGCAGUGUUUCCGCUACUGAAUCAUACACUAUCUCAGGCAGU
rnacentral:lncRNA from 10 species